rnacentral:rRNA from 1 species
CGUAGGGGCAAGCGUUAUCCGGAUUCAUUGGGCGUAAAGCGCGCGUAGGCGGUCUGUUAGGUCAGGAGUUAAAUCUGGGGGCUCAACCCCUAUCCGCUCCUGAUACCGGCAGGCUUGAGUCUGGUAGGGGAAGAUGGAAUUCCAAGUGUAGCGGUGAAAUGCGCAGAUAUUUGGAAGAACACCGGUGGCGAAGGCGGUCUUCUGGGCCAUGACUGACGCUGAGGCGCGAAAGCUAGGGGAGCGAACAGGAUU